rnacentral:rRNA from 1 species
UCAAGUUAUUAAGGGUGCAGGGCGGAUGCCUUGGCACUAGGAGCCGAUGAAGGACGUGAUAAGCUGCGAUAAGCUUCGGGGAGUUGCACGUAAACUUUGAUCCGAAGAUUUCCGAAUGAGGAAACUCACUUAGAGUAAUGUCUAAGUAUCAUUAAGUGAAUACAUAGCUUAAUGAGGGGAACUCAGGGAACUGAAACAUCUAAGUACCUGAAGGAAGAGAAAGAAAUUCGAUUCCGUAAGUAGCGGCGAGCGAACGCGGAUUAGCCCAAACCAAUAAAGUUUUCUUUAUUGGGGUUGCGGACAUAUCAUAACGAAGAGGUAUCGUAAUUGAAGAGGUUUGGAAAGACCCACCACAGAAGGUAAUAGUCCUGUAUGUUAAACGAGAAGACUUCAGAUAUGAUCCAGAGUACCACGGGACACGUGAAACCCUGUGGGAAGCAGGAGGGACCACCCUCCAAGGCUAAAUACUACCUAGUGACCGAUAGCGUAUAGUACCGUGAGGGAAAGGUGAAAAGAACCCCGGGAGGGGAGUGAAAUAGAACCUGAAACCCUGCACUUACAAGCUGUGGAAGCACAUUUCUUGUGUGACCGCGUACUUUUUGUAGAACGGGCCAACGAGUUACGUUAAGUAGCAAGGUUAAGCACUUAAGGUGCGGAGCCGUAGCGAAAGCGAGUUUUAACUGAGCGUUCAGUUACUUGACGUAGACCCGAAACCGGGCGACCUACCCAUGAGCAGGAUGAAGCGAAAGUAAAAUUUCGUGGAGGUCCGAACCCACGAGCGUUGAAAAGCUCGGGGAUGACUUGUGGGUAGCGGUGAAAUUCCAAUCGAGCCCGGAGAUAGCUGGUUCUCCCCGAAAUAGCUUUAGGGCUAGCCUCAAGGUGAGAGAUACGGAGGUAGAGCACUGAAUGUCCUAGGGGGUAUUGCACCUACCGAAGACUAUCAAACUCCGAAUGCCGUCAUCUUAUACUUGGGAGUCAGACUGUGGGUGAUAAGAUUCAUAGUCGAAAGGGCAACAGCCCAGAUCGUCAGCUAAGGUCCCUAAAUGUAAGUUAAGUGGUAAAGGAUGUGGGAUUGCACAGACAACCAGGAUGUUGGCUUAGAAGCAGCCACUCAUUCAAAGAGUGCGUAAUAGCUCACUGGUCGAGUGAUCCUGCGCCGAAGAUUUCCGGGGCUAAAACUUACUACCGAAGCUACGGCAUCAGUAAUGAUGGGUAGGGGAGCUUCCCAUACGGGUUGAAGCAUGACCGUAAGGACAUGUGGACAGUAUGGGAGUGAGAAUGUUGGCAUGAGUAGCGAGAUGUGGGUGAGAAUCCCACAGGCCGUAAACCCAAGGUUUCCAGGGGAAGGUUCGUCCGCCCUGGGUUAGUCGGGACCUAAGCUGAGGCCGAAAGGCGUAGGUGAUGGACAACAGGUUGAUAUUCCUGUACUACCGAUAACCGUUUGAGAGAAGGGAUGACACAGUAGGAUAAGCUAAGCACACUGUUGGUUAUGUGUGCCCAAGCAUUGAGGCAGUCAAAGUAGGCAAAUCCGCUUUGAUAAUGCUGGGAUGUGAUGGGGAGCGAAAUUUAGUAGCGAAGUAGCUGAUUUCACACUGUCAAGAAAAGUCUCUAUCGAGGUUAAAGGUACCCGUACCGCAAACCGACACAGGUGGGUGAGGAGAGUAUCCUAAGGCCAGCGAGAGAACUGUUGUUAAGGAACUCGGCAAAAUGACCCCGUAACUUAGGGAUAAGGGGUGCCACCAUCAGGUGGCCGCAGAGAAUAGGCCCAAGCGACUGUUUACCAAAAACAUAGGUUUCUGCUAAGUCGCAAGACGAUGUAUAGGAGCUGACGCCUGCCCGGUGCUGGAAGGUUAAGGGGAUCUGUUAGAGCAAUCGAAGCAGUGAACUUAAGCCCCAGUAAACGGCGGCCGUAACUAUAACGGUCCUAAGGUAGCGAAAUUCCUUGUCGGGUAAGUUCCGACCCGCACGAAAGGCGUAACGAUUUGGGCACUGUCUCAACAACAGACUCGGUGAAAUUGUAAUUCCGGUGAAGAUGCCGGAUACCUGCGACAGGACGGAAAGACCCCAUGGAGCUUUACUGUAGCUUGACAUUGGGUCUUGGUACUACAUGUACAGGAUAGGUGGGAGGCUUUGAAACCAGGACGCCAGUUUUGGCGGAGCCAUCCUUGGGAUACCACCCUUGUAGUACUGGGACUCUAACCAUAGGCCAUGAAUCUGGUCUUGGGACACUGUCAGGUGGGCAGUUUGACUGGGGCGGUCGCCUCCCAAAAGGUAACGGAGGCGCUCAAAGGUUCUCUCAGUACGGUCGGAAAUCGUACGUAGAGUGUAAAGGCAAAAGAGAGCUUGAUUGCAAGACAUACAGGUCGAGCAAGGAUGAAAAUCGGACUUAGUGAUCCGGUGGUUCUGCGUGGAAGGGCCAUCGCUCAACGGAUAAAAGCUACCCUGGGGAUAACAGGCUUAUCUCCCCCAAGAGUCCACAUCGACGGGGAGGUUUGGCACCUCGAUGUCGGCUCAUCACAUCCUGGGGCUGUAGUAGGUCCCAAGGGUUGGGCUGUUCGCCCAUUAAAGUGGUACGCGAGCUGGGUUCAGAACGUCGUGAGACAGUUCGGUCCCUAUCCGUCGCAGGCGUAGGAAAUUUGAGAAGACCUGUCCUUAGUACGAGAGGACCGGGAUGGACGUACCUCUGGUGUACCAGUUGUNCUGCCAAGGGCAUGGCUGGGUAGCUAUGUACGGAAUGGAUAAGCGCUGAAAGCAUCUAAGCGCGAAGCCAACUUCAAGAUAAGAUUUCCCACCGCAAGGGUAAGACCCCAGAAAGACUAUCUGGUUGAUAGGUCGAAGGUGUAAGUGCAGCAAUGUAUUUAGCUUAUCGAUACUAAUAGGUCGAGGACUUGACCAA